UGGGGAAUUUUGGACAAUGGGCGAAAGCCUGAUCCAGCAAUGCCGCGUGUGUGAAGAAGGCCUUCGGGUUGUAAAGCACUUUUGUCCGGAAAGAAAUCCUUGGCUCUAAUACAGUCGGGGGAUGACGGUACCGGAAGAAUAAGCACCGGCUAACUACGUGCCAGCAGCCGCGGUAAUACGUAGGGUGCAAGCGUUAAUCGGAAUUACUGGGCGUAAAGCGUGCGCAGGCGGUUUGCUAAGACCGAUGUGAAAUCCCCGGGCUCAACCUGGGAACUGCAUUGGUGACUGGCAGGCUAGAGUAUGGCAGAGGGGGGUAGAAUUCCACGUGUAGCAGUGAAAUGCGUAGAGAUGUGGAGGAAUACCGAUGGCGAAGGCAGCCCCCUGGGCCAAUACUGACGCUCAUGCACGAAAGCGUGGGGAGCAAACAGGAUUAGAUACCCUGGUAGUCCACGCCCUAAACGAUGUCAACUAGUUGUUGGGGAUUCAUUUUCUUAGUAACGUAGCUAACGCGUGAAGUUGACCGCCU
rnacentral:rRNA from 1 species